GUUUGUGGUGUGCGUGUGAGGAGCUGGUAGCAAGAGUCUCAAGGAGCUGAGAGGAUGUGCUGUUGGAGGACUAAGGAGAGCAAGCGUUAUCAGACACCAGGAGGAAGGUCCUGUGAUCCAGGUUUGCACAGACAGCAAUUUUUCCUGCAGAGACCGUCAAAUGUGGUAGCCCUUGAGGAAAAGAUGCCGUUCUUGAGUGUUGUGUUUCUGGGUUUCCCACCCACCUUCACAUGGAUGCGAGGAGAUGAAAUUAUUCCUGUCAGAUCCAAAAAAUAUUCAUUACUGGCUGGCAGUAACUUACUUAUUUCUAAUGUGACUGAUGACGAUUCUGGGACGUACACUUGCAUUGUCAGCUACAAGAAUGAGAACAGUAGUGCCUCUGCAGAGCUCACAGUUAUGGUAAACCUACAUUUCCAAUCUACAAAGAAUCAAAUGCAGAAAUGGAAGAUAACUUCUGGAAUAAAAUGCUUAUUUAGCUUUGCUGAAAGAUGCUCAAUGGAAACCAACCAUGAAAUUAUACACAACUGCAGCUAUUUGUGGAUUGAGAAACACCUAUCGAUUAUGUGAAUCUUAUUUUUUUUUCUCGCAUAUAGUAGAUUAUAGGAUUCUAUGGCAUGGACCAAGGCUGAAAUUUCAAUGCUCUGCAGAGGAUUUGGCUAUCCAGUUUCCAUGAAAAUUAAUAGAAAUUUCACAUCCAAAUUCUUUCGGGUGUUGAAAAUCCCACCCCAUAUCUUUAUUCUCUGUAAUGCACUUAACUAUGGCUUGACUAUGACUCUAUAAUAAUGUUACGCUAAAAAUGCAUUGUAUAGAAUUAAUUUUGUAUUUAUUUUCAUGCUUAUACAGAGAGAAAUAUGUAACGAGGAGUGUAAUGCAAUUUUGGGGAUAAACUUGGAUUCAGAUAAUUCAGUGAUAAUGGUUAUAUAUGAAUGGUAGAAGAGAGGUUUCAAAAGGUGGCACUUGUUACUUAUUGAGCACCAUGAUUGAUUGGGACUAUACCAACAUAAAGGAUAGCACAAUCAUUGACACAAUGAAAAUGAAAUCUAAAUCUAACAAAGAAACAUGCACGUGCAUGCAAAAUACGUAAUAAAAAUGCACAAUACAAACAUUGUGCAUGCAAAAUAAAUCAAUUGUAUAUACAAAGUAAAGUGGGUGUGGUUUUUUUGCAUAAGUGUCUAGUCACAUAAGCUAAUGAAAUAUGGGUGUAAGUUUUGGAGGUACAAUUUUGAUAACCUUUAAAAGUUUGGUCAUUUAUUUUCAUAAGCAUGUAGCGUGGCAGAUUUAAAUUAACACCAUGUAUCAUAUUGCUUAGCAACAGGUAUUAUGUUUGUAUUGUUAUAGUGAAUAUGUAAAAGAUCCAACAAAAACUACACACCUACUAAUGGAGUGCAAUAGAAAUCCCCAUAUAUCCUUAUUUUCAUAAAAAUUGGACAUAUUUGUUAAAUUCAUCUCCAUAAGUAGGAAACUCUCUCUGAGAAGUUUACCGGAGUUGCUCAUAACAUUAGCCUAAUUUAUAG